rnacentral:lncRNA from 10 species
CCAACCCCCAGGCCACAGACCAGAGCAUGAACCCCAUUGUGAACAAUGCAUGUGAGGAAUCUAGGUUGCACACUCCUUAUGAAAAUCUAAUGCCUGAUGAUCUGUUACUGUUUCCCAUCAACUGCAGAUGGGACCAUCUAGUUGCAGGAAAGCAAGCUAAGGAAUCCCAUUGAUUCUACAUUAUGGUGAGAACACAAGUGAGAAGGCAGCUGUCUACAUGCCAGGAAGAGAGCCCUCACCAGAAACUAACCAUGCUGGCACCUUCAUCUUGAACUUCACAGCCUGUAGAACUUCAAGAAAUAAAUUUAUAUUGUUAAGCCACUUUGUUAUGACAUCCUGAGCUGACUAAAACGCAAUACUCUGAAAGCCUUCACUUCGUCUCUCAUGACAUCUUUCAAAAGACCUCAACCAAAGCAACCUUUUCAGUGGGAAGCCUGAGGGAAUGAGUGCUAUCCUAAAUUACUCAUCUGGAUACAGUACCCAUCCCCUGGCUCUCAGAGAACCCUGAGUUAUUACCAUUCUCUCUCUCAUAACAUUAUCACUUGCCAGGAUUUGAAUAUGUCCCCUCCAACAUUCAGAUGUUCAGAAUUAAAGGACAAUGUAAUAGGAUAAACAGGUGGGAACUUUAACAGGAGAUUAGGCCACAAGGACUCCUCCCUCCUGAAUGGGAUUAAGGCCCUUAUAAAAGAAGCUUUGCAAAGCAUUUGGUUAGCUUGUCCUUCUGCCAACUGCCAUGUGAUGAUAUAGCUUUGCUCCCCUCUGGAGGUUGCAUCACCGAAGUACCAUCCUGGAAGCAGAGAGACUGGGCCCUCCGUCACCAGCCAGUACUUUGAUCUUGGACUUACCAGCCUCCAGAACUGCGAGAAAAUACAUUUCUUUUCUUUAUAAAUUACCCAGGCUGUGGUAUUUUGUUAUAGCAGCACUAAUGAAUGAAGACAUCACUUCAUGUUUAAUAUUUGGACUCCCCAUUGGACAUAGGCACCAUGAAGCCAAAGAAGCCUACUCUGCAUAGCCCCAGGAUCUGUCAUUUGGUCUGCUAUGGUGAUGUCUCUGUGAAUAUUUUGUUGAAUUGAUUUGACUGUUUGAAAGAGCAGGCUAUUUUCACUCAUUCUUUCUCCUUCCUAGCCAUGUAAAAUCUGUAUUGAAAUUUUUGAGAAAUAUAUUGAAGAAAGGAUAAAUAACAACUUUCUUAUUUUUAUUUAUUAUGUUUAAAGAAAAAGAACAACUUUA